CCUACGGGUGGCAGCAGUGAGGAAUCUUGGUCAAUGGGCGAGAGCCUGAACCAGCCAAGUCGCGUGAGGGAGUACUGCUCUAUGGGUUGUAAACCUCUUUUGUCGGGGAGCAAAAGCCGGACGUGUUAGGCCGUGAGAGUACCCGAAGAAAAAGCGUCGCAAAACCCCGUGCCAGCCGCCGCGGUAAUACGGAGUAUGCGAGGGUUAUCCGGAUUUAUUGGGUUAAAGGGGUGCGCAGGCGGUUUUUAAAGUCAGCGGGAAAAUCGUGGGGCUCAACCCCAUCCAGCCUAUGAAACUGGGGAACUAGAGUGUGGGAGAGGUAUGCGGAAUGCGUGGUGUAGCGGUGAAAUGCAUAGAUAUCACGCAGAACCCCGAUUGCGAAGGCAGCUUACCGGUGCACAACUGACGCUGAGGCACGAAGGCGUGGGUAGCGAACAGGAUUAGAUACCCUAGUAGUC
rnacentral:rRNA from 1 species